GGGCCCGCACAAGCGGCGGAGCAUGCGGAUUAAUUCGAUGCAACGCGAAGAACCUUACCUGGGUUUGACAUGGCCGCAAAACCGGCAGAGAUGUCGGGUCCUUCGGGGGCGGUCACAGGUGGUGCAUGGCUGUCGUCAGCUCGUGUCGUGAGAUGUUGGGUUAAGUCCCGCAACGAGCGCAACCCUUGUUCGAUGUUGCCAGCGGUUCGGCCGGGGACUCAUCGAAGACUGCCGGGGUCAACUCGGAGGAAGGUGGGGAUGAGGUCAAGUCAUCAUGCCCCUUAUGUCCAGGGCUUCACGCAUGCUACAAUGGCCGGUACAAAGGGCUGCGAUACCGUAAGGUGGAGCGAAUCCCAAAAAGCCGGUCUCAGUUCGGAUCGGGGUCUGCAACUCGACCCCGUGAAGUCGGAGUCGCUAGUAAUCGCAGAUCAGCAACGCUGCGGUGAAUACGUUCCCGGGCCUU
rnacentral:rRNA from 1 species